UACGAAGGGGGCUAGCGUUGUUCGGAAUUACUGGGCGUAAAGCGCACGUAGGCGGAUAUUUAAGUCAGGGGUGAAAUCCUGGAGCUCAACUCCAGAACUGCCUUUGAUACUGGCGACCUUGAGUCCGGGAGAGGUGAGUGGAACUGCGAGUGUAGAGGUGAAAUUCGUAGAUAUUCGCAAGAACACCAGUGGCGAAGGCGGCUCACUGGCCCGGUACUGACGCUGAGGUGCGAAAGCGUGGGGAGCAAACAGG
rnacentral:rRNA from 1 species